rnacentral:rRNA from 1 species
CCUACGGGAGGCAGCAGUGAGGAAUAUUGGUCAAUGGGCGCGAGCCUGAACCAGCCAAGUCGCGUGAGGGAUGACGGCCCUACGGGUUGUAAACCUCUUUUGUCGGGGAGUAACGGGCGUCACGUGUGGCUCCACUGAGAGUACCCGGCGAAAAAGAAUCGGCCAACUCCCGGCCAGCGCCCGCGGUAAUUCGGAGGUUGCGAGCGUUAUCCGGAUUUAUUGGGUUUAAAGGGUGCGAAGGCGGAUCGUUAAGUCAGUGUUCAAAUUGAGGGGCAAAACCCGUUGCCGCCAUUGAAACUGGCGCUCUUGAGUGGAAGAGAAGUAUGCGGAAUGCGUGGUGUAGCGGUGAAAUGCAUAGAUAUCACGAAGAACCCCGAUGGCGAAGGCAGCUUGCCGGCUUCCGACUGACGCUGAAGCACGAAAGCGUGGGGAUCGAACAGGAUUAGAUACCCCUGUAGUC